rnacentral:rRNA from 1 species
AUUGAACGCUGGCGGCAUGCCUAACACAUGCAAGUCGAACGGCAGCACGGUCUAGUUUACUAGAUGGGUGGCGAGUGGCGCACGGGUGAGUAAUGCGUAGGAAUAUGCCUUGAAGUGGGGGAUAACUUGGGGAAACUCAAGCUAAUACCGCAUGAGCUCUAAGGAGGAAAGCUGGGGACCUUCGGGCCUGGCGCUUUAAGAUUAGCCUACGUCCGAUUAGCUAGUUGGUAGGGUAAAGGCCUACCAAGGCGACGAUCGGUAGCUGGUCUGAGAGGAUGAUCAGCCACACUGGGACUGAGACACGGCCCAGACUCCUACGGGAGGCAGCAGUGGGGAAUAUUGGACAAUGGGGGAAACCCUGAUCCAGCGAUGCCGCGUGUGUGAAGAAGGCCUACGGGUUGUAAAGCACUUUCGGUGGGGAGGAGGACUAUCAUGUUAAGAGCUAGAUAGUUGGACGUUACCCACAAAAGAAGCACCGGCUAACUCCGUGCCAGCCGCCGCGGUAAGAC